AUCAUAAAGGGUGACAAGCCCAACCAAAGAUGAGUGAAAUAGUAAUAAUGGGCCAGACAAGCAAAGCUUGGGGCUGCAAGGGGAUGUUGAUACGCCGAAGAAAGAAGGAACGAAGUAGGUGCAAUUUUGGAGCUUUGAUUUCAUGAAAAUUUUGCAAAUCACAAACUAAACUUUUAUUCAAAGGUUUCCUUCAUUGACCAAAUUGGACUAAAAUGAGUACCAAGGAACCAGCGACAUGCCUAUCUGAAGUUGGAAGCUCAAAUCAGUUAGAGACGAACAAUUCAAAUUAUGUCUCUCAUGUCAAGAAGCUACUACAUCGACGAAUGCUGGUUGGUAUAAGUGAUGGAAGGUUCUUUCUAGGUACAUUUUAUUGUGUUGAUAAGCAAGGAAACAUAAUUCUUCAAGAUGCAGUUGAGUACCGUAGCACCAGAAGAUCUGCUCCUUCUCCGAUGGAACAACGAGUUCUUGGCAUCAUUUUAAUCCCUUCAUCGUGUCGGAAAACAUGUCAUGUGGAUUGUUCUAUUGAAGAACAGUUGUCCCUAAUGUCGCUUGGGGAGCGAAACUCAUAAUUAUAUUGCUGGCGAUUAACUUGAUCAAAGUUGAUCCAUUGGAUGAAUAUCUCCCCUGUUUGAUUUAUCCUGACAAUUGACUAUGCUGUUUUCAAGUGUGAAAUUUACUGGUGUUAUUGUAUGUUUAUUUUUGGUCAGUUAGGAAGAAGCUGAUGAGAGUGUGUUUCGCAUAAUGUUACUCAUGGAUUAUUUCCUCCUUCCAUGAUGUCCGUUUCCCAAUUCCAUUAUGAAGUUUCAAUUUUGACGACUUGUA